GUGACUGGAGUGGGCGGACGGGUGAGUAACGCAUGGGUAACCUGCCUCACACAGGGGAUAACAGUUAGAAAUGACUGCUAAAACCGCAUAACAUGGCGAGACCGCAUGACCUUGCCAUCAAAUAUUUAUAGGUGUGAGAUGGGGCCUGCGUCUGAUUAGCUAGUUGGUGAGGUAACGGCUCACCAUGGCGACGAUACAUAGGGGGACUGAGAGGUUAACCCCCCACACUGGUACUGAGACACGGACCAGACUCCUACGGGAGGCAGCAGUGAGGAAUAUUGGUCAAUGGACGCAAGUCUGAACCAGCCAUGCCGCGUGCAGGAAGACGGCUCUAUGAGUUGUAAACUGCUUUUGUACAAGGGUAAACCUCGGUACGUGUACCGAGCUGAAAGUACUGUACGAAUAAGGAUCGGCUAACUCCGUG
rnacentral:rRNA from 1 species